GUAUUAGUUAUGUUCUUGAAACUCAAAGAAUUUGGCGGUAUUUUAUUCUUUUUAGAGGAACCUGUCCUUUAAUCGACAUUCCACGAUGAUUAUUUACUCUCUCUUGUAUUCAGUUUGUAUACCUCCGUCAUAAGAGUAUCUUUUUAGAGGGAAUAUUCUCUUAAUAUAAAAUAUAAUAUGUCAGGUCAAGGUGCAAUUUAUGAGUUAGUAGAGAUGGGUUACAAUAAACUUAUUUAUAUGGAUUAUAGUACUUAUUUUACUAUAUGAAGGUGGAUUUAAAAGUAAAAUUGGUAUUUCUUGUUAAUUUGAUUUUAGCUCUAGAAUAUGCACACAU
rnacentral:rRNA from 1 species